UACGAAGGGGGCUAGCGUUGCUCGGAAUUACUGGGCGUAAAGGGCGCGUAGGCGGCUUUGUAAGUCGGGGGUGAAAGCCUGUGGCUCAACCACAGAAUUGCCUUCGAUACUGCAUGGCUUGAGACCGGAAGAGGUAAGUGGAACUGCGAGUGUAGAGGUGAAAUUCGUAGAUAUUCGCAAGAACACCUGUGGCGAAGGCGGCCGACUGGGCCGACCCUGACGCUGAGGCGCGAAGGCGUGGGGAGCGAACGGG
rnacentral:rRNA from 1 species